rnacentral:rRNA from 1 species
GUACACGCUGUGACUAGCAUAUCAAUAAGCGGAGGAAAAGAAACUAACAAGGAUUCCCCUAGUAACGGCGAGUGAAGCGGGAAGAGCUCAAAUUUGAAAUCUUAAAGGGUUUCCCUUUACGAAUUGUAGUUUAAAGAAGUGUUUUCUGUUGAGGUUUUGGUAAAAGUUCUUUGGAAUAGGACAUCAUAGAGGGUGAGAAUCCCGUAUUUGACCUUUACUUUCAACUUUGUGAUACACUUUCAAAGAGUCGGAUUGUUUGGGAAUGCAGUCCAAAAUGGGUGGUAAAUUUCAUCUAAAGCUAAAUAUUGGCGAGAGACCGAUAGCGAACAAGUACCGUGAGGGGAAGAUGAAAAGAACUUUGAAAAGAGAGUUAAACAGUACGUGAAAUUGUCAAAAGGGAAGCGUUUGACACCAGUGUUGUUUUUCUGAAAAUCAAUUAAAGAACUGUUUAUGCCAAGUUGUUUAGACUUUAUCAGCUAACUGUUUAGUUUUGAGCUUUUCUUUAAUGCACUUUUCAGUUAACAAGUCAACAUCAAUUUCUUUUGCUGUAAAAAAGCUUGAGGAAGGUGGCUUGAGAUUCGUCUUAAGUGUUUAUAGCCUCUUGCCUAUGCAGUCGGAGAGAUUGAGGUCUGCAGCGUAGAUCCUUCGGGGCUAAAUGCAUUUGUGCUAAGUUAUAGCAUUUUAUAGACAACUUGUUGACUAUGAUUUGUCUUGUAGCUUACUCGCUUAUGUUAUUUUACCUACGCUUAGGAUGUUGAGCGCAUGUCUCUCUCU